AUUCGAAGCAACGCGGAGAACCCUUCCAAGUCUUGACAUCCUUUGACCACUCUAGAGAUAGAGCUUUUCCUUCGGGGACAAAGUGACAGGUGGUGCAUGGUUGUCGUCAGCUCGUGUCGUGAGAUGUUGGGUUAAGUCCCGCAACGAGCGCAACCCUUAUUACUAGUUGCCAGCAUUGAGUUGGGCACUCUAGUGAGACUGCCGGUGACAAACCGGAGGAAGGUGGGGAUGACGUCAAAUCAUCAUGCCCCUUAUGACUUGGGCUACACACGUGCUACAAUGGAUGGUACAACGAGCAGCGAACUCGCGAGGGUAAGCGAAUCUCUUAAAGCCAUUCUCAGUUCGGAUUGUAGGCUGCAACUCGCCUACAUGAAGCCGGAAUCGCUAGUAAUCGCGGAUCAGCACGCCGCGGUGAAUACGUUCCCGGGUCUUGUACACACCGCCCGUCACACCACGAGAGUUUGUAACACCCAAAGUCGGUGAGGUAGCCUUUUGGAGCCAGCCGCCUAAGGUGGGAUAGAUGAUUGGGGUGAAGUCGUAACAAGGUAACCA
rnacentral:rRNA from 1 species